CUCAAUAAACAACUUAUAAGCACACACCAGUUCUCGUCCGAUCACUGAAGUUAAGCAACGUUGGGCAUGGUCAGUACUUAGAUGGAUGUCUGCUUGGGAACACCAUGUACUGUUGGCA
rnacentral:rRNA from 1 species